rnacentral:rRNA from 1 species
AGCCUUAAGAUUUAUUUAAGGUAACGCCUGCCCAGUGCAAUAAGUUAACGGCCGCAGUACCCUGACUGUGCUAAGGUAGCAUAAUCAGUUGGCUUUUAAAUGGAGUCGGGAAUGAAUGGAUUUAUGUGGCUAAGCUGUCUCUUUUGUAUUUUAUUGAACUUACUUAUUAGGUGAAAAUGCCUAAAUAACUGAAAAAAGACGAGAAGACCCUAGGAGUUUUUACUAAUAUUUAUAGAGUAAAUUACGUUUUUGUUGGGGCGACAUGAGAAGAACUAUAAACUUCUCUUAUUUAUCUGCCGACGGAGGUAUGAGAGAUUAAACUACCCUAGGGAUAACAGCGUAAUUCUUUUUGAGUUUGCGACCUCGAUGUUGGACUAGG